GGCUCAGAUUGAACGCUGGCGGCAUGCCUUACACAUGCAAGUCGAACGGCAGCACGGGAGCUUGCUCCUGGUGGCGAGUGGCGAACGGGUGAGUAAUACAUCGGAACGUACCCUGAAGUGGGGAUAACGUAGCGAAAGUUACGCUAAUACCGCAUAUUCUGUGAGCAGGAAAGAGGGGGAUCGCAAGACCUCUUGCUUUAGGAGCGGCCGAUGUCGGAUUAGCUAGUUGGUGAGGUAAAGGCUCACCAAGGCGACGAUCCGUAGCGGGUCUGAGAGGAUGAUCCGCCACACUGGGACUGAGACACGGCCCAGACUCCUACGGGAGGCAGCAGUGGGGAAUUUUGGACAAUGGGCGCAAGCCUGAUCCAGCCAUGCCGCGUGAGUGAAGAAGGCCUUCGGGUUGUAAAGCUCUUUCGGUGGGGAAGAAAUUGCACAGGAUAAUACCUUGUGUAGAUGACGGCACCCGCAUAAGAAGCACCGGCUAACUACGUG
rnacentral:rRNA from 1 species